AACAUGGCAAAAGGGAAUUAAUGAUGCAAUGAAGUUUGCUAAUCUGAUGAACUUCAGAUGAGGAAAAUACUGGAUAAUCCAGAUGAAACCAAUGUAUUGCACAAGUCCUUAAAAAGGAGAACCUUUCUCAGCUGUGGUGAGAGGAGGAGCUGACAGUGAAAGAAAAGUCAGAAAGAUGCGAUGUUGCUGAGGAAAGGGGCCACUGCAGAUGAAAUGCAUGUGACUUUCAGAAGCUAGAAAAAGUGAGGAAUGGACUUUCCCAUGAAGCCUGCAAGGACCUGUGACUUCUGACAUACAGAACAACGCUGGCACUUCUGGUUUCCCCUUUUUUGGACUUGUAUUAAAUUAUAUCAGUGACUCUCCUAGUUCUCAGGCUUGAACACGGCAGACAGUGGGACUUCUUGAUCUGCAUAACUGCACUGUCUGAAGAUGCAGUUAUUACAAUAUCACUUUAUUUUCAACAUCACAUCCUGGAAUCAUUAGUUUUCCCUGUCACACCAGCUACUCGAGGAUAUAUUUAAAAAUAUGAUUUUCAGUUGGGACUGUCCUCUGGGACAACUGUCAGAAUCUUUUCUUGAAUAGGUAUCAAGAGCAGACCAAGAAGGUGCCAUUAGGAGCAGUCUGGUGAUGGAUAUGUUGGUGGCAUUGAUUAUGGUGGUGGUUUCAUGGGUGUAUUUUUAUCCACAAAUACAUCAAGUUGUAUACAAUAUAUACAGAUUUUUGUAUGUCAGUCAUACCUCAAUAAUACUCUGGUUUCUCUUCAGAUCAAAUAAAUCAUUUGCCUUUUACUAAAAAAAAAUCAUACUUCAAUAAUGUGUUCUUUCUUAAAAAAGGAAUAAAGUACAUGAAAUUUAACGAA